CCUACGGGGGACAGCAGUGGGGAAUAUUGCACAAUGGGCGCAAGCCUGAUGCAGCCACGCCGCGUGAGCGAUGAAGGCCUUCGGGUCGUAAAGCUCUGUCCUCAAGGAAGAUAGUGCCGGUACUUGCGGAGGAAGCGCCGGCUAACUACGUACCAGCAGCCGCGGUAUUCCGUAGGGGGCUAGCGUUAUCCGGAAUUACUGGGCUUAAAGGGUGCGUAGGUGGUUUGUUAAGUCAGCGGUGAAAUGCUACUGCUCAACCGUAGUAAGCCUUUGAAACUGGGGAACUUGAGUGCAGGAGAGGAGAGUGGAAUUCGUAGUGUAGCGGUGAAAUGCGUAGAUAUUAGGAGGAACACCAGUUGCGAAGGCGGCUCUCUGGACUUUAACUGACACUGAGGCACGAAAGCGUGGGGAGCAAACAGGAUUAGAUACCCUAGUAGUC
rnacentral:rRNA from 1 species